AGGAGGUAAAAAUGCCAAGUUCUAAAAAAAAAAAA
rnacentral:misc_RNA from 1 species